GAUCCCAUCUCCCCGUUUAAACCUAGAGACCCAACCCCAACUAUUCCCAAACACUAAUCAUUCCUCACCAGACUCGGCCGCCCUCAUUUCCUCUUCCUCUCUUAUUUCUCUCAAACACACCAAACCAAUCAAUCAGAGAACCUUGCACAAAUUAGUGCAAUGUCGCGAAUCAAACCACAUAUUAUUCUUAUUGUCAUCUUAAUCCUCGAAUCCCGCUAUUUCUUUCCUCUUUCAUUAUUGAGAUUCAAAAUCCCCAAUCCGAAAACCCUAACCUAGAGCUCAACUUCGGACCAACUGAUUUUCUUCUUCGUACUUUCAAAUCCAUGGCAUGCAUGGCCAUCCAUCUUGUCUCAUUACUGCGAAUUUUGCUAUUCCCUUUCCGUUUCAACCCUUUAAUAUCAAAAUCCCUAAUGUUGAAAUCACAGACUAAAAGGUGAAAAUUCCAAUCAUUUGAGAUCUCCUUUGUUCUUUCGUAUCAAAGCACAUGAGAAGCCUCUUCAGAACUUCAUCAUGAAGAUUCUGUACCCAGAGGUCAAGCGUAGUGGCCUCUGGGUUUUUGAGCUUUGCCCGAUGGUUCCUUUCCAUCAACGGCCGACUCACUCCACUCAGGUAAAAUUAAUACUACUUUUUACCUCUGGUUUUCUCUGAUUUUCACUUGUUUUGCUCACAUCACUGCCUCAUUGUCAUCUUUCACUCACCGAGUUUGAUUUCUAUUGAACCCUAAGGCAUUGAAUACCACUAUAAAAGGAGCCUUCAAUGCUCUCACCUAACAACACAUGACACACACGAAAAUCACCUAAACAAGCAGAAAAACUACUUAAACUACAAAGAUAGUAUUUAUUACGGUUUUGAGUAGCAAUCUCAGGCUAGGGUUCUAAUUAGGUUAUGAUAUCUUUUCCGUUCAAAGCUUUACACUAAUUGGAGUUUGACUCCCUGAUUCUUAAUGACUAAGCAAGACUCUUUUUGGUUUGUUGCUCAAAAGAAACUCAGUGCACUUGACCUUCUCUUCUUUAUUUUUAAUUGCUGAAAACAUGUCUACUCUGUUACCUUUUACUGAUUGUGUUCAGCUUAUGAUGUUUUGUUGUUAGCUUACAAUUGAUUAUCUCUGUUCAUGAUAUGUUCAUAAUCAACUAUUAUGCUCAGGCAUUAUAUGAUUCAAGUUGAUACUAAUUCUUUAUUGUGUGACUAAUAAGUACUGCUCUACAUUAUGUAACCUGUAUGAUCAAGCUUCUGUGAUUAACUAAAGAAUCUUGAUAAUUUCUUACACUCAUUCUGACUUUUCUGUUAUGUCUUUCAUGUCCACCUUACUGAUUCUGCUUUAGUGUUAUCUCUUGAUUUAUACCUGAAGUUAUUUGUAGAUAAAGCUAACUAAAGAAUGGAUAUGAACACCUAAGGUUAAGUAUAGAGUUGUCACUUUAAUUCAAGUAUAGUAGUUUAUAAUGCUUGAGUUAUUUUCUUCCCUAAUGUGUUCUUCUGUGAUUCUGUAACUCUAGAGAGAUUAGUGUAAAAGUAUUCUAUCAGCUCCGAUAAUUGUUUGAUCACAUCAGUAAGUCUCAUUGUAUGAGAUAAUGCUUUAAAGUAACUAGAGUAAGUUCUAAUGAAUCUCUGCAUUCAAGUUUUUGUCUGAUUCUAUCUACUUAGCUUAAGCAAUGCCUAUAAACCUGAUUUAAGUUGCACCUGCUAUGGUUGAGUAUCAUCAAUUGAAUUAGGCAUUGCUAAACUUCACACGACAAACAAAUCUACUUAACUUAUAACUGAACCAUGCUUACUUAGUAUAAACUUUCACUAUUCUGGACCACCAUAAUGACAAUGUUAGUCUAAUCUUAUAUUGUUUGGUACUCAAUCAUGUUGUAAUUUUGUAGUCCGGUUAGAAUGUAACAUGUACACAUUUGAAUGUCAUUUAUUGGAAGUUCUCUACUCAUCCCUGUUUCAGAAGGGGAGUGCUGCUUGUAUAUCAUAUUUGUGACUGUACUUCCAUAUCAUUGAAACCUACUAAGUUUACUGUAGUUUACCCAUGGACUUAGGAGAGGCCCUUUGAUGUUUAUCUGCCAUGUUUGAGUGUAGGACUGUAUAUUUAAUUUAUAACCAACCUAGAUGGAAUAAAAGAUCUCUUUAUAGGUCAUAUCACUUGUUAAGUAAAUAUAUUUGACUAUCCCUGUCUUUAACAACCCUGAAGUGAACUGUUGAGUACUCUCAAGCAUGAUAAAGUACAUGAAAAUGUAUUAUAUGCUUAUAUGUGAACCAAGAUCUCUUAUAAUAUUAUAUGCAGUAUUCUAAAUAGUUAUUUAUAAGAAAUAUACAUCUCCUUAUGUGUAGUCACGGUUGUUGUAUUAUAAUUUAUAUUGAGUGCCUCAUUAGCACUCAACGCUGCAGGGGAGAGUAAGUGAGUAGUUAGGGGUAUUUGGGAGUAGAAUUUAGUUUCUGGUUGAGAUAUUCUCCUUGACAAAAGCACUGCUCGUGGUCCUUGUGACCCUUGUGAACUUUGAAAUACCAAGGAUCAUAGGGUAUCUCGGCCAUGGAUGGAAUUUUACCCUAAUCCUUUAAUUAUUGACAUUUGCUAAUCUCUUUACGUUUAUUGUCUAAUGGAAACAAAGGUUUCACUGUAAAUUGCUUUACUCUGUGUGACUCCACAUUAAUUUGUAUUCCUAACUGCUAUUGAUUGUUACAGUUUAUCUUGGGCCUAUAUUGGUAUCACUUAUGUUUAAAUAUUAUAUUGGGCCACAUAUCUAAUAACCUUCUCUUUUUACGCAUGUGUCUGAAUUGGACCUGCCAAGUUCUCAAAGAACUCAGGCCCAAAUUCUUGCCUGAACCUUAUGAGUCACCUGAAGCUGCCGUUGUUUGCGUAAUGUCUGCUGGGCCUAAUUCCUCUCAGGCCCAAAUCAUGAGUCCAUUUCAUUUUUCCUAUUGCUUUUAUAAGUCUAUUGUUGCUCAUAUAUGUAUCAACACUGACGAUAUUGAUU
rnacentral:lncRNA from 1 species